AGACGCUGGGAGGAGACCCUGGGACUCAGAGCUAAGAACCCAGGCGGCAGAGAGGCACGGGAACUGGGCGUUCAGAGUUUGUAGACACGCGAAGUAGGGAGUCGGGAGGCUGGGCUGAGGGCGGGGAGGGAGGGGACAGGCCGGUCCCUGCCUCAGCCGAGGGCCCUGCAGUCGGUGCGGUCUCUGGGGUCCCGGCUGGCCGGCCCGCAGUGGCUGCUCCUUGCUGUCUGGCCCACCGCUAACUUCUCCCAGCGGACCCAUGGAACUCGUCAUGUUGGUGAGGCGCUGCGCUGGGGCCCUGGGGGCCUGACCCUGCUCCAGCCGCCCUGCCGCAGGGCCCCCACUGCCCGGGGCUUGGAGUGGAGACAGAUCCGAGAACACCGCUGCUCACCCGGGGCGCCACAGGGGCAGUGCUGGCGCAGUGGCCUACUAUGCACUAAUCUACAGCCUAAGAUCCUUCCAUGACUCCUUCUGGCCUUCAGAGUGGAGUCCAAGCUCCUCACCAUGGCACAGAAAGUCCUGAGUGACCUGGCUACUGCCCGUGUCUACAGCCUUUCACCCUCUGCCUGAAACGCCGACACAAAAUUUACACAAAGGGAGUAUGUAAGAGACCACAGAUACGAGGAAAGAGAAGCCAGGAGACAGGCAAAAGCUGUGCCAGUGGUUCAGAAUGGGUGCUGGCAGGGGACAAGAAAAGCAAGAAGAUACAUGAAGAGAGACAGAUGGAAAGACCAACAGGCUCCUGGCAAUCAGGAGGCAGGCUUGGAGCCAGUCACUGCUGAAGGUGAUGGGGUCAGACAGACAGUUCUGGAGCGGUGCUGGACCUGAAAUGGGCCCCCUAUUCCUGAAUCCCAUUCCAGGCAACAGGAGGCCCAGCCGUAAGGCAGUUUCUGGUUGCCCAAGUCUCUCUUACAUUCUUGCAAUAACUUCCCAUUACUUGAGGUGGCCCGAGUGAACCCCAAGCAUGAAACAAUACAGAUGGCAACUGAAGCCACGGAUGGGGGUGUCAAUCUCCCACAGAACGUGUACGGAAAGAGAAGACUGUCCAGGAUGGAGCCCUAGCGAAUGCUGACUCUGAAAUCAAGGACGCUGAGAAAGAGAAUGAGAGAGACUGGCGAGCGAAAUCAGAAGAACGCCAGAAAUUACUGACUCCGAAGCCCGAGCAGGGGCAGUUUCAAAGAGGAAGGAGUAGUCAACAUAAAGCAUGUUUCUGAGAGGUCAGGAAACAUGUGUCCACUGGAUUUGGCAGCCUUGAGGGUGUGAGACUUCGGCUUAGGACAGGGAUGGAGGUGUAAGACGGUGGAUGGAACUGAAGACGGUGGUGAGUAGGCUCCGAGAGGAACGACGGCCAGGGACAGGACACAGGGGUGACCCCACAGACAAUGGACGGAGCACCUCCAGCCUUCAUCAAGCAUCAGGAGGGUGCUCAGUGACAGCACCUACUACAUCGCAUUACAACUCUAGUUUCGGGCCUGUUCCCACUAGACCGUGAGAGACAGGGAGCAGCAUGGUGUCAGCACACAGGACACCUCAGUGACGCCUGGCAAAUGAGCGCAUGGCGAGAUGGAGUGAGAUGUGCCUCUGAACAUUUCACAAGAGCUGGAGGCUGCCCUGUCCCACCAUGGCCUUACAUACACCUGUACCUCCGUGUCUCCGGACCUCAUCUUCCCCACUCAACAGUCCACUGGUGCUCCUCUGAGCUGCCCUGAGCAUGGCCUGUUGGGAACUCCUCCAAGCUUGCUGGCUGGCUCAGGGCUCCUGAGGGCUGGGAGAUAACGAGCCUUGUGGUAACUUGUCUGGAACUUGUAGUGCAACUGUCCAGUGAAUGAGGGAACCAAAUGGCCACAAACGGUGACAAGAAAAGUUCCCAUAUGGACGAAGGCAGUAUGGCCAGCCUUAGCACAGGCUGUCUUCUGGGUUGUCCAGUCUUCCUUUCCAGUCUUUCCUCUUUCCAGACCCCAUCAUGACUCCUGGGUACCAGAAAGUUCCACCCACUGAGCAACUUGUUCACAUAGCAAGCUGUAGGCAGCAGCCGUGACCGAGGCCUGUCACUUGUUCCAGCACUGCCCAGCCAGGCCUUGGCUCCCAAAUGCAGAGCUGCCUC